rnacentral:lncRNA from 1 species
CAAACACAAACUCUAGAUAAUUUUGGGCCACCCAAAUACUGCCCUAGAUUCCUUCACUUUCCCCUCCCUGGAACAGCCACGUUCCCAAAGACUGAAGCAGCACACAGCCUGGUGGCGGAGGGAGCUGUUAAGUGAUCUUAACAUGUUUCACCAGCACAAGAGGUAAAGAUUUUAUAUGUCAGUGUUUCCAAUCCACUUCAAAAUUUCUCAAAGCAAUGACAGUAUGUAAGCAUCA